AGUCAAAGAAGGGCCCUCUUUGAGAGAAACCUGGGUGAAGAAGAAAGGAACCACACAGCCACCCACAGCAACAAGUGGGCCAAAGCACUAGCACAGAGACUGGAAAAGAAAAUGGAGACAGGGGAACAGGAAGAGAAGAGGAAGCAAAACAAGAUGGUGGGAGCUAGGGUUUUCUCUAGAAAGAGGGCUGGGAAGCUCAAAACUCCAUUUUGAGGUUGAAUCUCACAACAGCUGCGUCCUGACUCCCUGUAUGAUCCUGUAAUGACUCAGGCUCAUUGUUCAGAAAUGUAGACAUCAGUGCAUUGGAUCAACCGAGGCUGGCUUCGUCAAAAGAUGAUGAAAACAGGGCUCUGGGAGGACAAUCAGCCUGAGAUCACACAACCAGUAAGGUGACAGGAUCCUCUUGGCACUGGGGGCCCUGGAACAAGUCCCAUCUCUCCCAUUUGCUGUCUUCAGAAAGAGCUGCAGUUACAUGCUUGCUACUCAAAGUGGUCAGGCGGGUGGACUUCUCUCAGGGUCCUUGGACCAAUGCUGAGAAGAGACUUACCCACAUCUUGCGUAUGUGGUUCCAUCCAUUUCCCGGCAUUGGGUCUCCAUUCAGGAGUGUGCCAGAGCCAGCUCAUAGUGGUUCCCAAGAGCCAGUUGUUAUAUUUCUGGAAUUGUGCGAGCUGGUUGAUAUUAUGUUGGUAGCUUGAAAUCAGCUAUCGUGGGAGGAUUUUACAGCAUGGAAGCUGACAAACGCUGCCAGUCAGGGCUCUGCUCCACUCUCAGCCCAUCGUUCAACAUUUACCAGCACUUCACUGUCCC
rnacentral:lncRNA from 1 species